rnacentral:tRNA from 1 species
GUGAUAGCUCAGAUGGUAGAGCGGGGCGGUGGUCUUACAAUCAUAAAGUCGCAGGUUUGAG